GAUGAAGAACGCAGCGAAAUGCGAUAAGUAAUGUGAAUUGCAGAAUUCAGUGAAUCAUCGAAUCUUUGAACGCACAUUGCGCCCCCUGGUAUUCCGGGGGGCAUGCCUGUUCGAGCGUCAUUUCACCACUCAAGCCUCGCUUGGUAUUGGGCGACGCGGUCCGCCGCGCGCCUCAAAUCGACCGGCUGGGUCUUCUGUCCCCUCAGCGUUGUGGAAACUAUUCGCUAAAGGGUGCCACGGGAGGCCACGCCGAAAAACAAACCCAUUUCUAAGGUUGACCUCGGAUCAGGUAGGGAUACCCGCUGAACUUAAGCAUAUCAAUAAGCGGAGGA
rnacentral:misc_RNA from 1 species